UGGUUCUGGCAUCGAUGAAGAACGCAGCGAAAUGCGAUAAGUAGUGUGAAUUGCAGAAUUCAGUGAAUCAUCGAAUCUUUGAACGCACAUUGCGCCCUUCGGUAUUCCGUGGGGCAUGCCUGUUCGAGCGUCAUUAACACCCUCAAGCCUUGCUUGGUGUUGGGCGUCUGUCCCGGGGUUGCACCCCAUCCGGACUCGCCUUAAAGGCAUUGGCAGCGGACCCUCCGGCCUCCUAAUCGCGCAGCACUGCCCGCGCCUCCUGGAGCUUGCGGGGACGGCAUCCAUGAAGCCUAAUUUUCUUGAAUUUGACCUCGGAUCAGGUAGGGAUACCCGCUGA
rnacentral:misc_RNA from 1 species